GCAAGAGACCGCGGGGGUGGAAAAGGCCGCUCGCUCGAGAUUGCGCGCAGACCGGAUCUCACUACGUUGCCCAGGAUGGUCUUGAACUCCUGGACUCAAGCAAGCCUCUUGCCUCGGCCUCCUAAAAAGCUGGGAUGACAGGCAUGAGUCACCGUGCCCAGUCUUCAUUCUUUAAAUAUUUGGUAGAAUUCAUCAGUGAAGCCAUCUCAUCCGGGGCUUUUCUUUGUUGACAGAUUUUUUAUUACUGAUUCAAUCUCAUUCUAACUAUAGGGUUUGACUCUUUUCACCGACAAUAAUCUGGUGCCCAACAUUGGGCCUCGGAGAAGACUCAGGACCCUGAAGGAGUUGCCCAAAACUGGAGCUAAGGUACCAGCAGGAGCCCAUUGAAGCCUCACCGAAUUCGAGCUUCUCCUUCGGUGGAACUGGAUAAAAUGAGAAGAUAGCAAUCUGCAAACCAAGAAGCAGACCCUCAUCAGACACUGGCACCUUGAUUUUGGACUUCCCAGCCUCCAGAACUAAACAGGGUUUCACCAUGUUGCCCAGGCUGGUCUCCAACUCCUGAGCUCAGGCAAUCUGCCCACCUCGGCCUCCCAAAGUGCUGGGAUUACAGAACUUUACGGUGAGCCACCACUCCUGGCCUUAGCUGAGGAGAUUUCUAAGCAAGUGUUAAAGAAGCAGCUUGGUGCCUCCUUACUGCUUAUAGUAAAAUGCAAGAGGAAGAAAUAAAUUGAAAAUGGCAUUAUUAAGCAAAAAGGAAUCAGAAUAUAAAGAUUUGGAAAAUUCUAAGCCUGUUCAUAUUAUUUUAAAAGUAAGAAGGUAUGUUCAAAAGAGAACACAAAGGGCAUGUCAGACCAACAAUUUGAUAAAAAAGAUUAGCAUGGGUGUGAACUAUGAACCAAAUCAGCCAUGUAUCUCAACAGAAGCCAGGAAUACAGAUAAGAUUAUAGCAGCAGAGGCCGGGCACAGUGGCUCAUGCCUGUAAUCCCAGCACUCUGGGAGGCUGAGGCGGGCGGAUCACGAGGUCAGGAGAUCGAGACCAACCUGGCUAACACGGUGAAAACCCGUCUCUACUAAAAAAAAUUUAAAAAAAUUAGCCAGGCGUGGUGGCGGGCACCCGUAGUCCCAGCUACUUGGGAGGCUGAGGCAGGAGAAUGGCGUGAACCCGGGAGGCAGAGCUUGCAGUGAGCCGAGAUCGGGCCACUGCACACCAGCCUGGGUGACAGAGCAAGACACUGUCUAAAAAAAAAAAAAAAAAGAAACAGAAAAGAAAAGAUUAUAGCAGCAGAAACACUGCCAGCUGGGACUAAAUGGCGGGAGACUGUCAGCCUUCUUAGAUCCUACAGGACUGGAUCAUAGAGCUGUGAACAUGCACUAUUCCUCAAAACAAGAGAAGAAAGAACCCAAAACCCAAAAAUGAUUUGAAGAUCAUCAGGCCACCACUCCCACCAUAGGAACAGAGGACCUAACUUGGGGAACAGGGCGGCUGCCUCUGCCUCAGUUUCAAAGAGCAGGACCAGUGCCCAAUGGAGCCAUCGGUGCAGCGCCACCUGUAGCAGCAGAGGCACAGCACUACUCAGCAGAGCCACUGAGGUAUAACUUCAGCCUGGCAGAGCCAUGGGUGUGUGGCCCCCACCAGACAGAGCCACACAGGCAGGACUGCUACCCCAGUGGGUCCCAGAAGGCAGAGCAUUGAGCCAAAGAAGCUCUUCAAGCCUUAACGUCUUACGAAUUUUGCCUUGAUAGGUUUGGGACUUUCUUGGGACUCCAUCAUCCCUUUCUUCUUUCCUAUUUCUCCUUUUUGGGAUGGGAAUAUUUAUCCUAUCCCUUUCCCACAAUUUUAUUUUGGAAACACGCAACUAAUUUGAUUUCACAAGUUCACAGCUGGAGAGGAAUUUUGCCUCACAAUGAAUCUUACCUCUAUUCUUAUUCAUAUCUCAUUUAGAUGAGACUUUGGGCUUUAAACUUUAGAGUUCAGGCUGCAAUGAGUUAAGACUUUUGAGGCUGUUGAGUUGGAAUGAAUGUAUUUUGCAUAUGAGAUGGGCAGGAGUUUUGGGGGUCCAGUGGCAGAAUGCUAUAGACUGAAUUGUUGUGUCCCAGCAAAUUCAUAUGUUGAAAUUCUAACCUCCAGUGUGAUUGUAUUAAGAGGUAGGGACCUUUGGGAGGUAAUUAGGUCAUGAGGGUGGAACCCUCAUGAAUGGCAUUAAUACCCUUAUAAGAAAAGACAUGAAAGUGUGAUCUCACUCUCUUUCUUUCUUCCCACCAUGUGAGAAUGCAACAGCAAGACAGCCGUCUACAAACCAGGAAGAGUGCCCUCGCCAGAAAAUGGAUUUGCUGGCACUUUGAUAUUGGAAUUCCCAGCCCCCAGGACUGUGAGAAAUAAAUUUCUGUCAUUUAAGCC
ensembl:lncRNA novel transcript